ACAAUUGAAUAUAAGGGCGUAUGGUGGAUGCCUUGGGUGUUCAUAGCGAUGAAGGACGCGGCGUGACUGCGAUAAGCGUCGGGGAGGUGUUGAGCAACCUUUGAUCCGGCGAUUUCCGAAUGGGGAAACCCUGCCGUGUAAAACACGGUGAGCCGUGCUUUGCACGGAAAUCCUAAACCCUAAACCCUAAAUCCUAAACAAAUUCUAAAAUCCAAAAUCAUAAACUUUUUGGGUUUGGAACUUUCAGUUUUUUUUGAGUUUGUUUAGAGUUUAGAAAUUAGAGUUUAGAGUUUCCGCGCAGGGCGCGGUAGCGAACCCGCUGAAGUGAAACAUCUUAGUAAGCGGAGGAAUAGAAAACAAUUUUUCACUCGGAUGUGUAUGCGAAUGCAUGCGAAUCGUAUGCGAAUAUUCGCAUAUAAUUUGCAAAAAUUUGCAAACGCAUUCGCGUGGAAUCCAUUCCCUGAGUAGCGGCGAGCGAAAUGGGAACAGCCCAGAUUUCGUUUUCAUUUAAUUUAUUAGGUGAGAGCGGAAAGUUGUAAGCAUGGUUUUUCGAUUUAAUUCGAGAGAGCCAGAAGGAACGCGUUGUUUAGGAAAACGGCCCUGGAACGGCCGACCAAAGAGGGUAAGAGUCCCGUAUCUGAAAAACAGCUUUCGCUUUUUGAACCAUUGCUUGAGUA
rnacentral:rRNA from 1 species